UACGUAGGAAGCGAGCGUUGUCCGGAUUUACUGGGCGUAAAGGGCGUGUAGGCGGAGCGGCGCAUCCUGGAGUAAAUCUAUCGGCUCAACUGAUAGGCUUUCUAGGAGAUGGCCGCCCUUGAGGACAGCAGAGGAAAGUGGAAUUCCCGGUGUAGCGGUGAAAUGCGCAGAUAUCAGGAGGAACACCGGUGGCGAAGGCGGAUCUCUGGGCCAUUACUGACGCUGAGGAGCGAAAGCGUGGGGAGCGAACAGG
rnacentral:rRNA from 1 species